ACGGGAGGCAGCAGUGGGGAAUAUUGGACAAUGGGCGGAAGCCUGAUCCAGCAACGCCGCGUGAGGGAUGACGGCCUUCGGGUUGUAAACCUCUUUCAGCAGGGACGAAGCGCAAGUGACGGUACCUGCAGAAGAAGCACCGGCCAACUACGUGCCAGCAGCCGCGGUAAUACGUAGGGUGCGAGCGUUGUCCGGAAUUAUUGGGCGUAAAGGGCUCGUAGGCGGUUUGUCGCGUCGGGAGUGAAAACCAGGUGCUUAACACCUGGCUUGCUUUCGAUACGGGCAGACUAGAGGUAUUCAGGGGAGAACGGAAUUCCUGGUGUAGCGGUGAAAUGCGCAGAUAUCAGGAGGAACACCGGUGGCGAAGGCGGUUCUCUGGGAAUGACCUGACGCUGAGGAGCGAAAGUGUGGGGAGCGAACAGGAUUAGAUACCCUGGUA
rnacentral:rRNA from 1 species